rnacentral:rRNA from 1 species
AUUGAACGCUGGCGGCAUGCCUAACACAUGCAAGUCGAACGGGGCAGCAAUGCCUAGUGGCGGACGGGUGAGGAAUACGUAGGAAUCUGCCUGUUAGUGGGGGAUAACGCGGGGAAACUCGCGCUAAUACCGCAUACGUCCUACGGGAGAAAGUGGGGGACCUUCGGGCCUCACGCUAACAGAUGAGCCUAGGUCGGAUUAGCUAGUUGGUGGGGUAACGGCCCACCAAGGCGACGAUCCGUAACUGGUCUGAGAGGAUGAUCAGUCACACUGGAACUGAGACACGGUCCAGACUCCUACGGGAGGCAGCAGUGGGGAAUAUUGGACAAUGGGCGAAAGCCUGAUCCAGCCACGCCGCGUGUGUGAAGAAGGUCUUCGGAUUGUAAAGCACUUUAAGCCGGGAGGAAGGGCUGUAGGCGAAUACCCUGCAGUCUUGACGUUACCGGCAGAAUAAGCACCGGCUAACUUCGUGCCAGCAGCCGCGGUAAAAC